rnacentral:rRNA from 1 species
UACGAAGGGUGCAAGCGUUACUCGGAAUUACUGGGCGUAAAGCGUGCGUAGGUGGUUUGUUAAGUCUGUUGUGAAAGCCCCGGGCUCAACCUGGGAAUGGCAAUGGAUACUGGCAAGCUAGAGUGCGGUAGAGGGUAGUGGAAUUCCCGGUGUAGCGGUGAAAUGCGUAGAGAUCGGGAGGAACACCAGUGGCGAAGGCGGCUACCUGGACCGAGCCACGUGAC